CCCAAGUUCCCUCUCCUCUGAUUCGGGCCACGAUUUCGACACCUCCGAGUCCACUUGAAUGAAGCGUACUGCUUUUACAGAAAGGAGGGUAAUUAUGCUACGAUAUAUGAUGAGAAAAAGGAAACGCUUUAUGAAUAGACUUCUUAGAUAACGCUUCAAUGAGCCAAGAACAUCAUCUGUCUCAAAGUAUUAGAUUCCUUCUCAUGUUGAAAUAUGACAACAAGCAAUAUCUGAAAGAAGUUGGUCUAGUAUAACACUUCCAAGCGUACCAAACAUUGGUUGUGACGACGUGACCCUGUUCCUCACACCUCAAGACGAUUUCUGCAAACACGCAAGAUCAUGUUCUGUUAACGUUGGACCAGACUCCAAGUGAUACAUUAUUAGCUAUUAUCACCAGAUCAUACCAUCAUUGGGUACCUGUAUUUGCAGAGAUUUUAUUGCCAGGGCAUUGACAAAAGGUGCGGGAUGCUAUCAGGUUCAAUAUUCCUUCUAACCUUCUUCGGGAACAUACAAGGACCUGACUCGGAACAGAGAGCUUACUAAAGCUAUGUUCACUAAUUGUGGUAUAAAUGGAUUACAUUCCAGCAUGUUUCAUAAUAAAGUACCUAAAUGAAAAGUCAACAAAAGCUCGAUAAUUUAGAAGCUUGUGCUGAAACAAUUUUCAAGAAAAUUUGUUUUUGUUUUUGGAGAGAACAAGGAAAACUUCACAGAUCUUGGCACUUUACAGAACACUUCUACAGAAUU